rnacentral:rRNA from 1 species
CCAUGAUUAACAGAUGGGCCGCUGGAGAUACUACAGAGCUAGGGAGUGGGAGAGGCAGACGGUAUUCAGUGGGUAGGGGUAAAAUCCUCUGAUCCAUUGAGGACCACCAGUGGCGAAGGCGGUCUGCCAGAACACGUUCGACGGUGAGGGAUGAAAGCUGGGGGAGCAAACCGGAUUAGAUACCCGGGUAGUCCCAGCUGUAAACGAUGCAAACUCGGUGAUGCAUUGGCUUAUGGCCAAUGCAGUGCCGCAGGGAAGCCGUUAAGUUUGCCGCCUGGGAAAUACGGACGCAAGUCUGA